rnacentral:rRNA from 1 species
AUUGAACGCUGGCGGCAGGCCUAACACAUGCAAGUCGAGCGGGGUUUUCGGACCUAGCGGCGGACGGGUGAGUAAUGCGUAGGAAGCUGCCCGAUAGAGGGGGAUACCAGUUGGAAACGACUGUUAAUACCGCAUAAUGUCUACGGACCAAAGUGUGGGACCUUCGGGCCACAUGCUAUCGGAUGCGCCUACGUGGGAUUAGCUAGUUGGUGAGGUAAUGGCUCACCAGGGCGACGAUCUCUAGCUGGUUUGAGAGGAUGAUCAGCCACACUGGAACUGGGACACGGUCCAGACUCCUACGGGAGGCAGCAGUGGGGAAUAUUGGACAAUGGGCGCAAGCCUGAUCCAGCCAUGCCGCGUGUGUGAAGAAGGCCUUCGGGUUGUAAAGCACUUUCAGCGAGGAGGAAGGGGUGUGUGUUAAUAGUACACACCUUUGACGUUACUCGCAGAAGAAGCACCGGCUAACUCUGUGCCAGCCGCCGCCGUAAUAC